rnacentral:rRNA from 1 species
UACGCUGGCGGCAGGCUUACACAUGCAAGUCGAGCGGAAACGAAGGGAGCUUGCUCCCAGGCGUCGAGCGGCGGACGGGUGAGUAACGCGUAGGAAUCUGCCUGAUAGAGGGGGAUAGCCCGGGGAAACCCGGAUUAAUACCGCAUACGCCCUAAGGGGGAAAGCAGGGGACCUUCGGACCUUGCGCUAUCAGACGGGCCCGCGUCUGAUUAGCUAGUUGGUGGGGUAACGGCCCACCAAGGCGAUGAUCAGUAGCCGACCUGAGAGGGUGACCGGCCACACUGGAACUGAGACACGGUCCAGACUCCUACGGGAGGCAGCAGCGGGGAAUAUUGGACAAUGGGCGAAAGCCUGAUCCAGCAAUACCGCGUGUGUGAAGAAGGCCCUAGGGUUGUAAAGCACUUUUGUUAGGGAGAACGGGUUUUGUAGUUAAUACCUACAGGAUCUGAUGUUACCUAAAGAAUAAGCACCGGCUAACUCCGUGCCAGCAGCCGCGGUAAUACGGAGGGUGCAAGCGUUAAUCGGAAUUACUGGGCGUAAAGGGCGCGUAGGUGGUAACUUAAGUUGGGUGUGAAAUCCCCGGGCUCAACCUGGGAAUUGCAUCCAAAACUGGGUUGCUAGAGUGUGGUAGAGGGUAGCGGAAUUUCUGGUGUAGCGGUGAAAUGCGUAGAUAUCAGAAGGAACAUCAAUGGCGAAGGCAGCUACCUGGGCCAACACUGGACGCUGAAGCGCGAAAGCGUGGGGNAGCAAACAGGAUUAGAUACCCUGGUUAGUCCACGCUAUAAACGAUGACNACUUGUUGAUGGGGGGCACUGG